AUUGAACGCUGGCGGCAGGCCUAACACAUGCAAGUCGAACGGCGCGGCGGACGGGUGAGUAAUGCCUAGGAAUCUACCUGUUAGUGAGGGAUCCAGUCCGGAAAGGGACGCUAAUACCGCAUACUAUCAGAUGAGCCUCGGUGGGAUUAGCUAGUGGGUGGGGUAACGGCCUACCAAGGCGACGAUCCGUAGCUGGUCUGAGAGGAUGAUCAGUCACACUGGAACUGAGACACGGUCCAGACUCCUACGGGAGGCAGCAGUGGGGAAUAUUGGACAAUGGGCGAAAGCCUGAUCGAGCCAUGCCGCGUGUGUGAAGAAGGUCUUCGGAUUGUAAAGCACUGUAAGUUGGGAGGCGUUACCAACAGAAAAAGCACCGGCUAACUUCGUGCCAGCAGCCGCGGUAAUUC
rnacentral:rRNA from 1 species